rnacentral:rRNA from 1 species
UACGUAGGGUGCAAGCGUUGUCCGGAAUUAUUGGGCGUAAAGAGCUCGUAGGCGGUUUGUCACGUCGGGAGUGAAAACUCAGGGCUCAACCCUGAGCGUGCUUCCGAUACGGGCAGACUAGAGGUAUGCAGGGGAGAACGGAAUUCCUGGUGUAGCGGUGGAAUGCGCAGAUAUCAGGAGGAACGCCGGUGGCGAAGGCGGUUCUCUGGGCAUUACCUGACGCUGAGGAGCGAAAGCAUGGGGAGCGAACAGG